CCCUUAGAUGUCCUGGGCCGCACGCGCGUUACACUGAUGCAUUCAACGAGCUUAUAACCUUGGCCGAGAGGCCUGGGCAAUCUUGUUAACGUGCAUCGUGAUAGGGAUAGAUUAUUGAAAUUAUUAAUCUUGAACGAGGAAUUCCCAGUAAGCGCAAGUCAUCAGCUUGCGUUGAUUACGUCCCUGCCCUUUGUACACACCGCCCGUCGCUACUACCGAUUGAAUGGUUUAGUGAGAUCCUUGGAUCGGCCCUGUCGCGGCUGGCAACGGCCGCGUCGGCGCGUCGAGAAGACGAUCAAACUUGAUCAUUUAGAGGAAGUAAAAGUCGUAACA
rnacentral:rRNA from 1 species